rnacentral:lncRNA from 1 species
CAGAAUGCAACUACUUCUGACCCUCUUGUUUAAAAGCUGCCUGGGUCCAAUUCACUUAUGGGCAACACUCAAGAGGGCUCACACUUUAAAUGCACUUGAUCGCUGGUUUGCCAGCGCUUAAUGUUUCCCAGAGAAAGUGAAAAAGAGCCACUUUCCACAGUGGCGAGUCCUCAGAGAGCACGCUCAGGGCUUGGGAGGCGCUGGUUCCAACUGAUCAAGGGAGCAGAUUGUCACACAGGUGGCUCAUAUGUGGUGGAUGUUUCCUGGUGCCCAGCCCGGUCCUUUGCAUUUUCUGUGCGUUAUCUCAUUCAACCCCCCAAUAACUCUAGGCAGGCGGAAUCAUUUUAUGCUGAUUUUAUAGAUAAGCGAACAGGCUGAGGGAGUUAAGUACCGUUGACAGGAGGAAUUGAGUGAAGUAGGCAGCUGAUCAUCCAAGAGGCUGGGAGUGGACACUGGCAACUUUGUAACACUUUUUUUUCUAGAAAAGGUAUUGUAGAGCCAGCAAGAGCCAACGUGGCCUGCCCCUUAGCAGUUAAUCAUCAUUCCCAGUUAGUUAUACUGUUCACCAGAGAGCAGGGAUUCGGGGUGCCUGGGACAGGGGCCCACGCUUCCUUCAGCAUGCUUCUGGCUUUUCUCCCCUGCCCUCCCACUCUAGGACAGGUUUUCAUGCUCUCUCUUGGGGCAUCACUUCCAGCCUCUUCUCCCAGCUUCCACCCUCGGCUCCUCAUCCUGGUAGUGAAAUUUCUGACCAGUUUGGCUCCAACGUGCUUUUCCAACUUUUCAUCCUGCCUCUUGUCAAUGUCCUCUCCCGUCCCAGCCUCAAUUGCAUGCUUCCAUUUCUCGCUUUCAAUUCUCCUCCGGCCCUAAAUCCUGUCCACACAUCAAUCUGGUCGCCUCCUUUCAGCCUCCCCAACCUCUUUAGGCCACAACAGGGCACUUCUCCUUCUGAUCACAUGGAACUUUUCUGGUCUAGCAUGGACAUGGGACAUUUAAGCAACUUGGGAUGGUCUGUGCUAGCUCUUCUGUGUUUUGUGUUUGCAGUGAGGUUGCAGAACUCCAGGGACCAGACUCAGCACAGUCCAUGUGAGGCCCAUAGGGAGGCUCUGGCCUGGCACAGACGUUGAAACAAACAAAAGGAUGACAUUUGCAUGUUGACAGCACAUGAAUUUCUUCAGUUAGAAACUGUCCUAAGCAAGAACAGCUAAAACAGGAAGCUGCUGGUUGUUCUUUGAGGCACAUAAUAAAUCACAAUAUAAUUUGCUGAGCUUUUGUGCUAUUAGCCCUGGGCGCCAAAAUUGCGAAUUACAGCUCUGAAGGCCAGGGUCCAUCAGAUGGAGGACGGGACCCAUGGGAGUCUGAACCCUGGCUUCACCCCUUGCUGGGUGACUUAGGCAAAUUCCUUAACCUCUCUGACUUUUCCUGUUGUUACUUGGGAAGAAGAAGUAUUCCUUCCUCCCAGGGUUAUUAUUAUAAGGAGUAUUGAGAUUCUGUGUAGAAAAGGAAUUAAGAGUAUAACCAAGGCAUCGAACUGCUAAGUUGUGAAAUACACUGGGAAUUGACAGCAGUGUCUGAAGGGACAUGUGGGGAAAUGCAGGGGGCUGGACAGGAGACCAGCUGCUUAGCCACCUUUGCCUAGAGUGGGUUUGGGCUCCACGUGCAAGGACUGGGUGACAGGGAGGUAGUCGCCCUCAGACAGGGAAGUAUGUCCCUUCCUCCCAGGGACCCUGCCUGACCUCAACUGCUGGGUGACAUGCUCUGCUGGUCUCAGGCAGCCGAUCGCUCACCAGGCCUCUUGGUUGGUUCUCCUCGGCCCCCAUGUUCCCAGCCUGACUGUACGAUGCUGUCCCAUCCCUCGGAAUCUGGCAGGGAGCAGGCGUUCAGCACAUACUGGUUUUUACUGGGCAUUUCCAAGUGCAUACUUUCCAAGAGUAAAAGAAGACUUCUUCCUAGACCUUCUUGCUAACUAGCAAAUGGAUAGUGAAGCUGUUGCAAGGAAGUUGUUGGAAAAAGUCCAAACGGCUGCUUUUCUUAAACUCCUCAUAGAGGUGCAGUGGAUUUCAUUUUUUUGACAGCAACUGCCUAGCUUAGGGCAGAUGUAAGAGCAAGUACAAAAGGGAAUUUGAUCUGAGCAGGCCUUUUGGCUUUGUUUAGCGACUGUUUACUGGAUACCAUAGUAGCACGCCCUGCCCUGGUGUGGUGAGUUAGAUGCCUCAUUAGCCGGGAGGGGUGAAUGGAAAUAAUGUGAGAAUAAAAGCCUAAUUAUUUUAAGACACAUCAAAACAAAAGCCAUGAGGCAAACAAAAGCAACAAAAGCAACGAGGCUCUAACAUUUCAUGAGAAUUCAGCAUCGCUGAAGAAGCUGGUGCUCUCAGCAAAGGACGACAGGGCCCAGAGAGAGCCCAGACACUGAACUGACCUGGCCAGGAGGCGGCUGCUGGGUCAGCCUCCCCGCUGACUCAAGAACCAGCAGGGGCCUGAGUCUGGUUCACCCAAGGAAAGGAACAGAGUGUUCCCUUUGGAGAAGAGCUGCGGGGGUGGAAGGGGCUUCGGACUCUCCGGCCAGGGAUCCAUCCCUGCCAGCGUGCCCCAUCUUUACACCUUUAUGACCUGUAGAAGCUGCAUUUCCUAUUAAAAAAAAAAAAAAAAAAAAGGUUUCUCUCACUUAUUUUGAGACUGUUAAUACCACUUGCCUGUACGUUUAAAAAUUAAUAAAUCAAUCUUGCAAGAGAUUUCUCUAUCAGUUUUUGCAGCUCUGUCAUUCCUUACCAGCACACCUAAGUCUUAAAAGGUGGUCUGUCUUUUCCCCUUUUACUUUUUUUUUUUCCUUUGUCUUUUUGUCAUUUCUAGGGCCACUUCUGAGGGGGAUUUUUUCUUUUUUCUAUCCCACCUCUUUUUUCUCUCUUCCCUCCCUUUUCUUUCUGUUUCCUUUUUAUCUUCCCUUUCCUUCUGCCCUCUUUUCUUAACAACAACAACAAAAAAAAAGGAUUAUUACAUGGAAGACGUCCAGAAGCUGGACUCUCCCAGAGUUGGUUUGUUUCAGCAGCACGAGACAAUCAUUGAAGUCCUAGGUUCUUUCCAUCUUUCCCUCUGCUGUUUGAGACUGUUUUGCUUCCGGGCCGGCUUCCGUCUUGGUCAUAAAAUGGGACCCUUGGUUCUAGGUGUCACAUCAGGACACCUAAGCUGGUAAAGAAAGGAGUGGAGAAAAAUCGGUGACAAGAUUACAGGGAGUGGUGGAGGCUAUGCCUUGGAGCACAUGACCCUGCUGAAGGCUCUCAAAUCCGGAAUGAUUUUCUUCCUGCCGCUUCAAAAUAUUUUGUUGUUGUUAGAGGGAUGAAAAGGGGAUCACGGAUGUUCUGAAAGGACUGCUUUUUGAACAAAUACAAGCAGUCCAAACACUGCUAUUGCUCCAGUCUUGCAGAGGUCAGCACUGAGCUGCAGGGGGCGAUGGGAGCUGGGCCAGAGAUCAAAUAAGGGUGAAGGCUCCCCAGCCCCCGCCUCUCCGCCACUCCACAGCUGCUGGCAACCUUGCUGCUGCCUAGCCCCAGGCCCUGCCUCCUUCCAUCCCGAGGCUUCCUCGGGGUUCUGGGGUGCUGUCUUCUCCUUUUGUGCCCUCCUACCAGCCAGCACAUAGGCUCGUGCUCCCCAUCCAUCACCUGCAUUGGGAUGAAGCUGCACACACACAGCUUGGCGGGCACUGAGGAUGGGCCCUCCAGUCUUUCUUUUCUAACGCAGUUUCUAUUUCCCAUGGUUCUCAAAGUGCGGCCCGAAAACCAGCACCAUCAGCAUCACCUGGGACCUCGUUAAAAACGGAACAUUUUUAGGGCCCACCCCCCGACCUGCUUAAUCAGGAACUCUGGCGGGGAGGUGGGACCAGCAAUCUAAAUCUUAACAAGCCCUCCUGGGGAUUCUGAUAUGCUCUGGUGUUUGAAAGCAAAUGUCCUAAAGCGCUUGGAAUGUUUGGAAACCAACCAUCUAAAAACUGGUUUUUGGAGUUCCCGUUGUGACUCAGCUUAAGAACCUGACUAGUUUCCUUGAGGUUGCGGGUCUGACUCCCGGCCUUGCUCAGUGGGUUAAGGAUCUAGCACGGCUGCAAGCUGCGGUGUUGCUGUGGCUGUGGGAUAGGCCUGCAGCUGCAGCCCCUAUUUGAUCUCUAGCCCAGAAACUUCCAUAUGCUGUAGAUGUAGCCCUAAAAAAAAAGGAAAAAAGAGAAAAAAUAAUAAUGUUUUUUAACCCUGGCUACACAUUCAUGUCAUCUGAGGGACUCUGGAGAAAUUACUAAUGCCUGGAUCCUACUGUUUUCCCCCUCCAUCCCCCCCAGUGCUUAUGUAACGGGUCUGGUGUGCGGUCCAGGCUUUCCAAUUUUUAAAAGUUCCCUGGAUGAUUCUGAAUGGCAGCCAAGGUUGAGAACCACUGAUCUAAAUAAAUAUGGAGACAAUUCCAUUGUGAACGAUUAAGUAGAUAGCCCAAAGAGAGAUACACAAACAAACUAGAAGUAUAAAGAAGAAAGACGAUUUGGGAUAGACAUUAUUGGAGAGGUCUCACUCCUACAAGUUAAAUUAGGCUGAUACGCUCAUUAGCUCCACUGGAAACAAGUAUUUAUGGAUGGUUUCUAAACUGCUGUGGGUGUUACAUAAGAAGUCCUCACUGCUUGAAAAUACACCGCUCACUAGGUUAUGAGACACACAUCAUUUGAUAUGUUCCCUUUCCCUCUUUUGAGGUCGGACCGAGGGAGUAGGUAAAAUAAGCUUGAAAUGCAACAGAGAGCAGUGUCAAGUUGAAACCAUGUACAAGCCCCUGUGUCCCUGUCCUUUGAGGUAAAAGGCUCUUUGCUUGAGUCUCAAAUGGCUGAUGCAAGAAACAGUGAUAGGAAAUGUGCAGAUGUGGAAGCAAAGAAUAGCUGCUGGGCCAGGGAACUGCUAAACAGUUUAGACUAUAAACCUGCCACACACCGAAUCAUUAAACUCCCAGUUCCCUAAAACAUAUAAAGGCCUGAAACACAUUCCUAAGCUAAUUUUACAGGAAGCAAACCACCGCCAGAUGAAAACUACUGACCAUAAUAACAGAGACUAGUUGAAACCAGAAGGUUGAUGAUGCUUGAAACUUCACCUUGAUGCCAGCCAAUCUGAGAACUGGGCACAAGCAGAUCAUGAACCAUGCACCUCUUUCCCUGAAAGCCAUCCGGGAGUUUGGGUCUUUUGAGCAGGAGUUGCCUGUUCUCAUUGCUUGGUGUCCUGCAAUAGAUGCUAACAGUAGAUUGGCUUUACUGGGUGCAGGUGAAUGGACUCGGGUUUAGCCUGGUAACAAAGUCACCAUCAGACAUAAGCCCUAUCAAAUACCUUUAGUGCAGAGGCCUCUUUCGGCAGGAAGCUCACAGAACAAAGGGCAUCCAUGGAUGAUUCUAACCAAUGGGAAAAUAGAAUACAGACUACAAGUCUCUUUUUUUUUUUUUUUUUUGCUUUUUUAGGGCCACACCUGUGGCAUACAAAGAUCCCAGGCUAGGGAUCAGAUCGGAUCUGUAGUUGCCAGUCUACACCACAGCCACAGCAAUGCCAGAUCUGAGCUGCAUCUGUGACCUAAAACGCAGCUUGCAGCAAUGAUGCAUCCUUAACCCACUAAGUGAGGCCACGAAUCAAACCCACAACCUCACGACACUGUGCUGGGUUCUUAACCCACUAAGCCACAAUGGGAACUCCAAUACAAGUCUCUUCUUAAGGGAGGAAAAACAUAAGGCCAGACCUGAGCCUUCCUUUAGGAGGGGAGGCAGUUUUAAUUUAGUAAAACUAAGGAAUCAUGAUAAAAUUUACAUUGCCCCAGUGCAGUGAAUUAUCUUGAUUUGAAAUGAGACAUACAGCAUAAUUAGCUGUGUCACAGUAAGUUAGGCCAGAACCAAAGGUCUCAAUUCAAAGUGCACAAGGCCAUAAUCUGGACUUUUUUGUAGGCCGACUAUCCCAAAGGCCCAGGGAGAUAUGACCACAUAACAAGGUCCAGUCAUUUAUCUCUUUCAACAUUGAAAUCCUAAUCCUAUGUUUGUGUAGUUGUUAAGAUUUGUUAAAACGUGACUGAGCUUUGCCUAAGGUCAAAAAACAUGGCUACUGCAGAACUUAGGUCUCAGCAGAGGUUUGCCCACUGAUUGUACUUCACUGUUAACGGCUUAGGAGGUAAGAAACUCACAGAGAAUCUCUAGGUUUUUCUUCCACAUCUGACGGAAAAGGCUCCUGUUUCCAUAUUAAAAUCUAAGAAUAGCUUCUGGCUGUAAAAACAGCAGCUUGGCUUUCUUCCAUACAGUUUACUAUAGAUGCUAACAGUGUCUGAACCUAAACAAGACGAAUGACUUGGCUAUGACAGGCAAGAUCAAAGCAAAUUCAGUGAUGGUUACUUUUAGUUGAGCCUGGGCUGUGGGCAAAUUAGUCCAAAUUGAAUUCAGUAUUCUCAUAUUCUGAUUUAGUCAAUUUGGGGUGGUGUUCAGAAGUCAUCGUUUAAAACAAGCACCACAUGGGUGAAAUACUGGUCUUAAUAAUCAAUGAGAACAAAUGGGGGCUCUGGCUCAGUGGUAACGAACCCGACUAGUAUUCAUGAGGACAUGGGUUCGAUCCCCAGCCUCACUAAGUGGGUUAAGGAUCCAGUGUUGUUGUGAGCAGACACAGCUUGGAUCCUGUGUUACUGUGGCUGUGGUGAAGGCUGGCAGCUAUAGCUCUCAUUUGACCCUUAGGCUGGGAAACUCCAUAUGCCGUGGGUGCGGCCCUAAAAAGACAAAAAAAAAAAAA